GAGUCGGUGGGCUUCUGGGUCGCAGGGAAAAGAGCCCUCCCAGCCCGCAUCGCGGAGUCCCUCCAGCAAACCGCGCUCCAAAGCCGCGGGCCACGGGCGUGGGAUGUAGCUGCAGCCGGCGCUCGGCCUGGAUCCCAGGUUUGGUGUCCAGACACCAACCUCGGGGCCCCGGGACGGCGCAAGAGCCCAGGUCCCCGACUCUGGGGCUGGGUGAAGGGGGGUGUACCCCGCCGCAGAGCGCCUCCGUCCCGCGGGUCCCGGAGCUCCCACCCAAAGGGAACACAACCGCUGCGAGUUCCAGCACAUCGGGCUCCCUCCGCGCGCACCCACAGCCAUCCACCGCCCCUCGGGCCAGGCGCGGGCAAGCGUCUCCCGGAUCCGGAUUUGGGGAGCGCAAGUGCCCCCUGUGGCCGGCCCGCGCCUGACCCCGCGGGCCUGAGAAGGCAGAAGCGGCUGGCGGAGGGGCCCGGGAGGAAGUUGGAGCCGCGGGGCCGGGAAAGGGGCAGGUCGGCGCCGCGGGCCUGGCGAGGGGCCCGCCGGAGCCAGGGCCACCCUGGGGCGCUGCGCCAAGGCCCGCGCGCACUCGAGUUCCCCCACGUGGCCGGCCGCCCGGGGCCCCACGUGGAAGGGGCGGAGGAGGAAGGAGGGCGGCUGGAGGGCCGGGCUCCCGGCCGCGGCCGCCGGACCCCCCUCAACCCCGCCCGGCCCCUGCCCCGAGGCCCCAGCGCGUCUCCAGGGCCUCCCGGGCGGGGCCAGGCCGGGGAGUGCCCGCCGCGCCCGGCCCCCUCGCCCGCCCGCCGUGCCCGUGUGCACUUUCGCGGAGCCACUAAUCCCCCGAGAGAGCCGAUUUGUAGUGAGGAGUAUCUGUAGGGGGCGAGGCCGGCCCAUGUGGGGUUGUGUCAUUGGUUUGCAAAGAGAGACCCCGCCUUUGCCCAAAAAAAAAAAAAAAAAAAGGGAGCGAGGAGUGAGCGAGCGGCGACCCUCACCUCGCCUCCCGCCUCGCUCCUGCGCAGCCGGCGGCCACCGCGAGACGCGGCCGUGUCGCUUCUUUCCCUUUCCUUUUCUCUUCGUUUUCCUCCUCCUUCCCCGGAGGAGAAAACAAAUAAAGAAGAGCAAAUAGCCGGGAGGCGCUCGGCU
rnacentral:lncRNA from 1 species